rnacentral:rRNA from 1 species
GACGAACGCUGGCGGCGUGCUUAACACAUGCAAGUCGAACGGAAAGGCCCUGCUUUUGUGGGGUGCUCGAGUGGCGAACGGGUGAGUAACACGUGAGUAACCUGCCCUUGACUUUGGGAUAACUUCAGGAAACUGGGGCUAAUGCCGGAUAGGAGCUCCUGCUGCAUGGUGGGGGUUGGAAAGUUUCGGCGGUUGGGGAUGGACUCGCGGCUUAUCAGCUUGUUGGUGGGGUAGUGGCUUACCAAGGCUUUGACGGGUAGCCGGCCUGAGAGGGUGACCGGCCACAUUGGGACUGAGAUACGGCCCAGACUCCUACGGGAGGCAGCGGUGGGGAAUAUUGUCCAAUGGGCGGAAGCCUGAUGCAGCAACGCCGCGUGCGGGAUGACGGCCUUCGGGUUGUAAACCGCUUUCGCCUGUGACGAAGCGUGAGUGACGGUAAUGGGUAAAGAAGCACCGGCUAACUACGUG